UGGGGAAUAUUGGACAAUGGGCGAAAGCCUGAUCCAGCAAUGCCGCGUGAGUGAUGAAGGCCUUAGGGUUGUAAAGCUCUUUUACCCGGGAUGAUAAUGACAGUACCGGGAGAAUAAGCUCCGGCUAACUCCGUGCCAGCAGCCGCGGUAAUACGGAGGGAGCUAGCGUUGUUCGGAAUUACUGGGCGUAAAGCGCACGUAGGCGGUCAGCCAAGUCAGAGGUGAAAGCCCGGAGCUCAACUUCGGAACUGCCUUUGAAACUAUCUGACUAGAAUCUUGGAGAGGCGGGUGGAAUUCCGAGUGUAGAGGUGAAAUUCGUAGAUAUUCGGAAGAACACCAGUGGCGAAGGCGGCCCGCUGGACAAGUAUUGACGCUGAGGUGCGAAAGCGUGGGGAGCAAACAGG
rnacentral:rRNA from 1 species